rnacentral:rRNA from 1 species
AGAGACAGCAGUAGCCGCGGGAACACAGAGGGUGCGAGCGUUAAUCGGAUUUACUGGGCGUAAAGCGUGCGUAGGCGGCUUCUUAAGUCGGAUGUGAAAUCCCUGAGCUUAACUUAGGAAUUGCAUUCGAUACUGGGAAGCUAGAGUAUGGGAGAGGAUGGUAGAAUUCCAGGUGUAGCGGUGAAAUGCGUAGAGAUCUGGAGGAAUACCGAUGGCGAAGGCAGCCAUCUGGCCUAAUACUGACGCUGAGGUACGAAAGCAUGGGGAGCAAACAGGAUUAGAUACCCGCGUAGUCCCUGUCUCUUAUAC